UACGUAGGGCGCAAGCGUUGUCCGGAAUUAUUGGGCGUAAAGAGCUCGUAGGCGGUUUGUUGCGUCUGUCGUGAAAGCCCACAGCUUAACUGUGGGUCUGCGGUGGAUACGGGCAGACUAGAGGCAGGUAGGGGAGAAUGGAAUUCCAGGUGUAGCGGUGAAAUGCGUAGAUAUCUGGAGGAACACCGGUGGCGAAGGCGGCAUCCUGGACCGAGAUUGACGCUGAGGCGCGAAAGCCAGGGGAGCAAACGGG
rnacentral:rRNA from 1 species